rnacentral:rRNA from 1 species
UUGUUCUUCCCUAACAACAGAGCUUUACGAUCCGAAAACCUUCAUCACUCACGCGGCGUUGCUCCGUCAGACUUUCGUCCAUUGCGGAAGAUUCCCUACUGCUGCCUCCCGUAGG